rnacentral:rRNA from 1 species
GAUGAACGCUGGCGGCGUGCCUAAUACAUGCAAGUCGAGCGAACGGACGAGAAGCUUGCUUUUUUGAUGUUAGCGUCGGACAGGUGAGUAAAACGUGGAUAACCCACCUAUAAGACUGGGAUAACUUCGGGAAACCGGAGCUAAUAUCGGAUAAUCUUUUUAACCGCAUGGUUCAAAAGUGAAAGACGGUCUUGCUGUCAUUUAUAGAUUGAUCCGCGCUGCAUUAGCUAGUUGGUAAGGUAACGGCUUACCAAGGCAACGAUGCAUAGCCGACCUGAGAGAGUGAUCGGCCACACUGGAACUGAGACACGGUCCAGACUCCUACGGGAGGCAGCAGUAGGGAAUCUUCCGAAAAGGGCGAAAGCCUGACGGAGCAACGCCGCGUGAGUGAUGAAGGUCUUCGGAUCGUAAAACUCUGUUAUUAGGGAAGAACAUAUGUGUAAGUAACUGUGCAAAGAUUGACGGUACCUAAUCAGAAAGCCACGGCUAACUACGUG